rnacentral:misc_RNA from 1 species
GUAGGUGAACCUGCGGAAGGAUCAUUAAAAACUUAAAAACCUCUAAUUUUGAAUCAAACCAAAAAAAAAAAUUCAAAUUAUUAUUACCAUAAACCCCCCCAUUAGUGUUCUCAUUUUAUAAACAAAAAAAAAUACUUUUAUCUGAGAAUUAUAAGUAUGUGUCCAGUCGAAUCUCGACUGGGUGUGUUUAGUUUUCAGAAAAGAGAUUUUUAACUCUUUACAUAAUAAUACCCCCCAAUCAAAUCUCUAUUAAAUGAGGUUUGCUUAAACCACAAAAAAAAAAAAAAACAAAAAAAAUAGUUGAUAACACAACUAAAAAAACAAAAAAUCGUAGCACAACUUAUAACGAUGGAUGACUAGGUUCUC